rnacentral:lncRNA from 10 species
CCCGAGUACCAGAAGAGGCCAAUGAGCAGGGCCCCCCCUCCUGAGGACCAUAAACAGUGACCCAGGCACAGAGGGAGUGUAGUGAAUUCCUGUACUUUAAUGUUGCCCUGGCAUCCGUUUUGAAUAUAAUCUGGACUUUCUUACAUUAGAAGCAGGGCUCAGUCAACCUUGACACUGUUUCCAGCUCCCUGCUUCCUCCCAGUUCCUCUAUGUGCUCAAUCCAGAUAUCUACCUUAGACAGUCAUCUCCCGGUGACUGCCUCCCUGUGGGACAGCUACAUACAGCCCACUUGACUGGUCCCGCUGACCCCACAGCCCGCAUGGACUGUUGCAGAUAGGCCAGUGACCCUCUCUCAGCCAUAGCGUGACCCUGCUUGCUCUAAACUCACCAAUUAUUUUAUUUUAUUUUAUUUUAUUUUAUUUUAUUUUAUUUAUUUAUUUUUGAGAUGGAGUCUCGCUCUGUCACCCAGGCUGGAGUGCAGUGGCGCAAUCCUGGCUCACUGCAAGCUCCGCCUCCCGGGUUCAAGCCAUUCUCCUGCCUCAGCCUCCUGAGUAGCUGGGACUACAGGUGCGCACCACCACGCCCAGCUAAUUUUUGUAUUUUUAGUAGAGACGGGGUUUCACAAUGUUUUCCAGGAUGGUCUCAAUCUCUUGACCUCGUGAUCCACCCGCCUCGGCCUCCCAAAGUACAGGCGUGAGCCACCGGCACCUGGCCUAAACCCAAUUAUUACUCCCCUCAGGAAACCUGCCUGGGUGACGCCCUGGACCCCAUAAAGGCCUUGGUCCCACAGGUCCCCUCUCUCUCUCACUCUCUACCUGCUACUUGAACACCCUGCUGUCUCCGGGAUUCCUGUUGGCCCUCAUCGGCGCUGGCUUCUCUCAUGGAUCUAGAGCGGCUAUCUCGGCUUAUGGUACCUCUCCAAGGGACACCCCAAGACCCAAUUAGACAAAGAUCUCAACAGGGAGGCUCCUGGCUCAAGGCACCUUGCUUGCCUCACUCUAGUCCCAGCCUGACCUCAGGAGAAGGAUUGAGGAACCUAGUCCUCCCGCAGGCAGGAGGGGUAGAGCACCUUGGAACCAAACUCAGGAGUUUCUGGCUGGCUCCAAACAGAAGAGCCACAGGCCAACCCGGGUCCCCUCUUCCAAAGCCCACAGGAGCUCUCUUCUGAAAGGAUCUCCAGCCUUGGGUUUACCUCAUCAGAGGCUUGGCCUGUGGGACACUGCGGGAGAGGAUUGGGAGAAGAAAGAGGGGUGAGCCCUGUUGUCCUCUUCCAUGCCCUGACCCAGCAGCAUGGCUGGGGGAGGCGCUCUGGCCCUAAGCUUCACUUCCACCACGAAGCCUUCUCUGACUUACUCUCUGCAUCCUCGUCCCCAACCCACCUCAGUACUUAGUACAUGCCCCAGAAGAUAGACCUGACCCUCUGCGGCCUUGGAUCACCAGAGUUGUUUUCCUGGGCACACUUAGGCAUCCUGCCUCUCCCAUCAGACUACGUUACCCAGUCAGACGUGAUGCCCUGGAAUGUGCCCCCCAUCCAUCAGUGUCCCUCUCAGACUGCCACUUGGAGAGCAGGCUGUGUCUUCCCCUCAGUGUACCCCCCUUAGACUGAGCCCCUCCCCCUUGCCUGUGGGCCCCAUGGAAGGCUUUGUGGAGAAACCCCCUCCACCCAGUCUCUUUAACCACAGCCUCCCUCCCUACUUCUCAGGAAACCACAGGAGAAAGAACAGGAUGGGAUUUUAGAGAAGUGGCCAGGAGGCCCUGAAACUGCUAGUGAAGUGGCUGUGGCCAGGGGGCCCAGGGACCUGCCCAGCCUUGGGAUGGGGGUGUGUGGGGGGAGGGGGCAGUACCACAGACCCCCGUAUGGGCCACUGGGACAUGUAAGAGUUCAAGUCCUCCUUCUCCAGGAUAUAUUUCAGAGACAAUGAGGCUGAAUUCAGUACUUGCAGUACCGAAAAAAAAAAAUCUAACUUUACUUACAAAAACCCCAGAUCCAAAGCAACCCUAGAGCUGAUAUUAUAUAGGGUAUGGAAAGCAUGGCAUUCAGCAAUUCGCUGAUUUUCAAAAGUUGGACUGUGUGCAGAUUGGCUGACUUUCAGUCUUGGCAGUUAGGGAUUGGCUGACUUUCAGAAGCAAAUCACUGGAGUAAGACCCUUGCUGAUUGGCUGGCUCUCAGAAGCAUGGUCCCUGGAAUGAAGCUGUUGCUGAUUGGUUGGCUCUCAGGGGACUGAAGUAACGUGAUCAAUGACUGAUUGGACCAGGUUGAAAAUAAGUCUGUGUGACUUGUUCCUGGCUUCAGACUAGUUCUCAAAACAGUCCCCCACCCCCCGCCUUUUUACUUGCUUUUAAAAGACAGAGUCUGGCUCUGUCACCCAGGCUGGAGUGCAGUGGCACGAUCAUGGCUCACUGCAGCCUCAAACUCCUGGGCUCAAGCAGUCCUCCCAACUCGGCCUCCUGAGUAUAGUAGCUGGGACUGCAGGCAUGUGCCACCACACCCUGCUAAUUUAUGUAUUUUUGGUAGAGACAGGGUCUUGCUAUGUUGCCCAGGCUGGUCUUGAACUCCUGUCCUCAAGCAAUCCUCCAACCUUGGCCACCUCCCAAAAGGCUGGGACUACAGACUUGAGCCACUGAGCCUGGCCGCUCCCUUCCCUGCCCUUUUGUGAAUUUAGAGAAUAGAAACAUUUUGUUUUCACCUCCCCCACAUUCCUGGCUUUCCCUUUUCUGACCAGCCAAGCACUGAUCAUCUGUACCCACACUCCAGAAUUGUCCAGAAGUCAGUUUGCCCAGGCCUGGUCAUUCCAUCCUUCAAAAACUCUUUCAUGGAGACUGCAGCUCUAGAAAGCAGACCUGUGCCCUUCCUUUCUGGUGCUUGGCACACCCUCCUCAUCCCCUGUUUGAAUGGAUGAAUGAGUGAGUGAAUGAAUGAAUGAAUGGCUGUAAGGAGGUUACAUGGUAGAUUUGGCAGAACUAGUAUAAGCCAUAUCCUCCCUUCCUUUUCUGACCCCUGUAAAAUCCAGCCUCAGCAUUCCCCACUGAACCCCCCAACCUCUGCCCCCCCACACACAUAAGAAUGUGGACUGCCCACAGCUCACCAGUUCCUCUGGAACCAGUUUGAACCCCCUGUGACCCAGCAGGGCCCCCACUCCCCCUUGAGUGUUAAGAUUUUUGGAUUAGUUGGCUUGAACUGUUCUAGAAAACAACAGAGUACCUUUGAGAAAAACAAAAUGCAUUAAUUUGGGCCCUAGGUCAGAAAAACAAAUUUAUAUUUGGCUUUGAUCUGGGUUGAUUUUAGCCUUUGGCUAUCGAUCAGGAGAGUGAGAGGGUAGCAAGGGUUGUCUUUGCCCUAAAGUAAGAGACAUGGGUUUAAACCCUGCUCUGGCCAGAAUCAUGUAGGGAACUGGACCAGGCCUUCCUAUUUCUGUUCAUUUCAGCACACAUUUAAUGAGUACUUACUGUGUGUUAAGUAUGGUGUUGUACAGAUAGACUGCCCCAGCCCUCAAGGAGCUCAGUCUAGAGGGUAGAGAGAUAAGUGAGUAAAGGCUUACAGUUUAGAGGGAUCAGGGCUGUUAGGGAGGGGAGUGAGCAGGGGGGCUGUGUGAGCCCAGGAGAGGCACCAGAUUCAACUUAGAUUGAGAGGUGACAUCAGAAAGAUAUUAUGGGCCAACUCUGGGCACACUGCCUAUGAAUUCACCCUGCUUUGCAAGGAAUAGUAUGGUUAAUAAAAUUCUUUAAAAAAGAAAAAGAUGUUAUGGAAGUAUGUUACAUUAUUUGUAUGGCCCAGUGUAAAACGAAAGUGCAAGGCUUCUUAUUCAGAUUUCAAGAUGUCAGCAGCAGAGGAUUAAACUAAGCACAGGGCCCUACUGAGCACAGGGCUCUGUGUGACCUCACAGCUCUCAUCCCAUGAAGCCAGCCCUGCU